rnacentral:rRNA from 1 species
CCCGCUGAACUUAAGCAUAUCAAUAAGCGGAGGAAAAGAAACUAACAAGGAUUCCCUUAGUAGCGGCGAGCGAAGCGGGAAGAGCUCAAAUUUGAAAGCUGGCGUCCUUCGGGCGUCCGCAUUGUAAUCUAUAGAGGCGUUUUCUGUGCUGGACCGUGUCCAAGUCCCUUGGAACAGGGUAUCAAAGAGGGUGACAAUCCCGUACUUGACACGACAACCAGUGCUCUGUGAUACGUCUUCUACGAGUCGAGUUGUUUGGGAAUGCAGCCCAAAAUGGGUGGUGAAUUCCAUCUAAAGCUAAAUAUUGGCGAGAGACCGAUAGCGAACAAGUACCGUGAGGGAAAGAUGAAAAGCACUUUGAAAAGAGAGUGAAACAGUACGUGAAAUUGUUGAAAGGGAAACGCUUGAAGUCAGUCACACCGUUCAGGAUUCAGCCUUGCUUCUGCUUGGUUUACUUCCUGUUGGGUGGGUCAACAUCAGUUUCCAUCAGAGGAAAAAGGCUUCGGGAAGGUGGCAGCAUUCGUGCUGUGUUAUAGCCCUUUGCUGUAUACUUUGAUAGAGACUGAGGACUGCAGCACGCCUUCUGGCUGGGGUUCGCCCACAUACGUGCUUAGGAUGUUGGCAUAAUGGCUCUAAGCGACCCGUCUUGAAACACGG